rnacentral:lncRNA from 1 species
GUCUCUUCCAUUCCCCACAGCCAGGAGCCUCCCCACACUUGGGAUUGCUAAUCUUUGGAGCCUCCCAUUCACCAUCCUCCUCCUCAUCCCAAUCUUCGGGUUUUGAUGCCUCAGGACUGUCAAUUUCCUCAGGUUCAUCAUCUAACCAUCCUUCAGGCUUCUCAGCUUCACUGUCUUCAGUUUCCAUAGGUGCAUCCUCAUCCCAAUCAUCUGGUUUUGUGGCAUCUGGGUCUUGAAUUUUUGCUCUCUCAUCCCAGUCCUCAGGUUUCUUAUCAUCUGGGUCAGGUAUUGUCUUGGCAGGG